rnacentral:rRNA from 1 species
GAAUGAACGUUGGCGGCGUGGAUUAGGCAUGCAAGUCGAGCGGUAGGGAACCUCUCACUCAUGCUCUCUUUGAACGGGGUCGAGGACGACCCGGCUCGCGAGCCGGCCCCGACUGAGAGAGUUGCGUGAGGGGUUCCUGAGAGCGGCGAAAGGGAGAGUAACGCGUAGUUACCGUACCCCGAGGACCGGAAUAGCCACGGGAAACUGUGGGUAAUGCCGGAUAACAUCUUCGGAUCAAAGGUGUGACUUCCGCCUCGGGAGCGGACUGCGUUGUACUAGCUUGUUGGUAGGGUAAUGGCCUACCAAGGCGAUGAUGCA